GUGUUUUGGCAGUACAUACACUAAAAUUGGAACGAUACAGAGAAGAUUAGCAUGGCCCCUGCCCA
ensembl:snRNA U6 U6 spliceosomal RNA